rnacentral:rRNA from 1 species
UACGUAGGGGGCUAGCGUUGUCCGGAAUCAUUGGGCGUAAAGCGCGUGUAGGCGGUCCGGUAAGUCCGCUGUGAAAGUCGGGGGGCUCAACCCUCAGAGGCCGAUCGAUACUGUCGGGCUAGAGUCCGGGAAGAGGCGAGUGGAAUUCCUGGUGUAGCGGUGAAAUGCGCAGAUAUCAGGAGGAACACCAAUGGCGAAGGCAGCUCGCUGGGACGGUACUGACGCUGAGGUGCGAAAGCGUGGGGAGCGAACAGG